AACAAGCAUGCCAACAAGGCUUCUGCUGCUAUUGACAAAAGCAACAGUACUUGAUUAUAGAAGGAAAUUUAGCAGGAGUAGAGAGGAGAAAAAGUAAGAUCGAUCCAGAGGCAAGCUUAUACAUCGAUCAAAUCUUUCAAAUAUAUUAUAUAUACCUGUUUCUUUGUUAUCGUUGUGCAUAUCUUGGAUAUAUACCUAUCAGACAUGGAGUCUGAUUUUGUCGCAUAAGGAAUUUGCAGCUUUUUUUUUUUUU
rnacentral:misc_RNA from 1 species